AACACUUAAAUAUAAUAGAAAUCAAGUAUAUCCUCUGAAAAUAACUCUGUGAGUCAUGACUGUCUACAAUGAGUGUGACACCUGAGUCCCACUGUUUUCCCAGUCCUAUCUUCACUUUGUUUACAUCGCCAGGACUGCUGACCGGCUCAUCCUCUCACAUAUAAAAGUUGUUUAAUUGAGGGACUAGAGAAAAGAAGAAUAACAUACUGUACUCACUGCUUAACUGAAUGUCAUGUAAGCGUUUCUAGAUCACGCUCAUUUCAGGUAAAUUUACAUGCAGUGUGAAGAUACGAGCAUAAUAAAGAUCGCUAGCAUUAUCAUGCUGACACAACAAUGCAGCGCGAGUUGUUUUGGUUUCAUGCUGGUGCUCAAGGGCGACAUCUGAUCAUGAUCUAGAAACGCUUACGUGACAUUCAAUUAAGCAGCGAGUACAGAAUGUUAUUCUUCUUUUCUCUAGUCCCUCAAUUAAACAACUUUUAUUCACGAGGUGAUGAGCCGGCCGGCCGUCCCGGCGAUGUAAAUAAAGUUAAGAUAGGACUCGGAAAACAUCACAGACAGUGGGACUCGGGUGUUACACCCAUUGUAGACAGUCAUGACUCACAGGCUGCAUCCAAAUUGCCAAGUACCUACUCAAUCUGUCAGUAGUCAGUACCUACUAUCCGUUAGGCAGAUAUUUGUUCCUACUUCUUCUGAUUCAUUCAGUAAGGAAGUGACGUCAUUUACGUUAUCCGAACCGGCCGCAUCCACCCGUUUUUUGUUAUUUUUGUUUAGCUUUAUUCAAGAAGAGUAAUGCUCAUAUACAGUCA